rnacentral:rRNA from 1 species
CAGCAGCCACGGGAAUACGGAGGGUGCAAGCGUUAAUCGGAAUUACUGGGCGUAAAGCGUGCGUAGGCGGUUCGUUAAGUCUGUUGUGAAAGCCCCGGGCUCAACCUGGGAAUGGCAAUGGAUACUGGCGAGCUAGAGUGUGUCAGAGGAUGGUGGAAUUCCCGGUGUAGCGGUGAAAUGCGUAGAGAUCGGGAGGAACACCAACGGCGAAAGCACUCUGCUGGGCCGACACUGACACUGAGAGACGAAAGCUAGGGGAGCAAAUGGGAUUAGAUACCCCGGUAGUCCCUGUAUCUUAUAC